GCAGAACGCGAAGAACCUUACCAGCUCUUGACAUCCUACUCAUCGGACCUUGUAAUGAGGUCUUUCGGUUCGGCCGGAGUAGAGACAGAUGCUGCAUGGCUGUCGUCAGCUCGUGUCGUGAGAUGUUGGGUUAAGUCCCGCAACGAGCGCAACCCUCAUCCUUAGUUACCAUCAGGUUAUGCUGGGGACUCUAAGGAAACUGCCUGCGUCAAGCAGGAGGAAGGCGGGGAUGACGUCAAGUCAGCACGGCUCUUACGAGCUGGGCUACACACGUGCUACAAUGGUGGUGACAAUGGGCAGCUAUCCGGCAACGGAGUGCUAAUCUCAAAAAACCAUCUCAGUUCAGAUUGUCCUCUGCAACUCGAGGGCAUGAAGCUGGAAUCGCUAGUAAUCGCAAAUCAGCAGGUUGCGGUGAAUACGUUCCCGGGGUCUUGUACACACCGGAGGUCGGUGGGGAGGGCAAGGGGCACGACAGGGGGGGGAUA
rnacentral:rRNA from 1 species